rnacentral:sRNA from 1 species
UGUAUUACAGUCGACUGUUGAUCCUCAA